rnacentral:rRNA from 1 species
AUUGAACGCUGGCGGCAGGCCUAACACAUGCAAGUCGAACGGUAACAGGAAGCAGCUUGCUGCUUUGCUGACGAGUGGCGGACGGGUGAGUAAUGUCUGGGAAACUGCCCGCUGGAGGGGGAUAACUACUGGAAACGGUAGCUAAUACCGCAUAACGUCGCAAGACCAAAGAGGGGGACCUUAGGGCCUCUUGCCAUCGGAUGUGCCCAGCUGGGAUUAGCUUGUAGGUGGGGUAACGGCUCAACUAGGCGACGAGCGCUAUCUGGUCAGAGAGUAUGACCAGCGGCCUGGGAACGUGGACAGGGUCCUGACUCCUGCGAGAGGGAGCAGUGGGGAAUAUUGCACAGUGGGGGCGAGCCUGAUGCAACCAUGCCGCGUGUAAUAAGAAGGCCUUCGGGUUGGAAAGUACUUUCAGCGGGGAGGAAGGGAGUAAAGUUAAUACCUUUGCUCAUUGACGUUACCCGCAGAAGAAGCACCGGCUAACUCCGUG